GACGAACCGUGCGAACGUUAUUCGGAAUUACUGGGCGUAGAGCGUGCGCAGGCGGUUUGCUAAGAGAGAUGUGAAAUCCCCGGGCUUAACCUGGGAACUGCGUUUCUAACUGGCAGGCUUGAGUGUGGCAGAGGGGGGUGGAAUUCCACGUGUAGCAGUGAAAUGCGUAGAGAUGUGGAGGAACACCGAUGGCGAAGGCAGCCCCCUGGGCUAACAC
rnacentral:rRNA from 1 species